UUUCACAACAGAAUCCGAUGUAGAGUAAACGGCUACAUGUAACAGUCAACUAACCAGUUGGACAAUAACAACUUGAACUCCUCCCUUCCGUUCAAAUGUCCUAUCUUGUCACAUUUCCCUUUCCUGUAGAAAAGACCAAGCUGGAGCUUUGCAUUGAGAAAGCCAGCGCUGACAUAAUGAAGGAACUCCUCACCCCACUUGAGAAGGAACCCGAACCCUUCUGGAAGACGGGAUGGAUGGCAAUGAUGGAGGAGGAAAAUAAUAAAAAGAAGAAGGGUUGCGGCUGGUUCUCGGGUUUGUUUGGCCGUAAGAAAAAAAACAGCGAAAGAAUUGUGGAUGGAGGAUUGUCGCAGGCGCGGAUACUAGAAAUCACAUCCACACAAACCAAGCGUAUGGACACACACACAUUUACACAGAGACAGAUAUAACAACAAGGCCUACCUCAGAUCCCAAACAGACAACAUAUGUUGCCUGUCUAAUACUAUGUCUUAUUUUCCAUUUUUCUCUGAAC
rnacentral:lncRNA from 13 species